rnacentral:lncRNA from 1 species
UACUGGCCUCCCUAUUACGGCGGGUUGGUGCCUCACUAUGAUUACCCUGUGGUUUUUGCUGAUCGAUCCGCUGACCCCUGCUCCAUCAUGUGAGAAGAGAAACAGAGACAUGACACAGAGGAUUUGAGAAAUUAAAAUUUGAACUGCACUUGGGGUAGUUAUAGUGUGACCUUGGGGUUGGAGAUGAUAGAUGAACAAAAAGAAAGAAAGGGAAUUGAAAUUCUGAUGAAGCAAGUUGAUUAAUUGGUUGCGUUUCCA